rnacentral:rRNA from 1 species
UACGUAGGGUGCAAGCGUUAAUCGGAAUUACUGGGCGUAAAGCGUGCGCAGGCGGUUUUGUAAGUCUGUCGUGAAAGCCCCGGGCUCAACCUGGGAAUUGCGAUGGAGACUGCAAGGCUUGAAUCUGGCAGAGGGGGGUAGAAUUCCACGUGUAGCAGGUGAAAUGCGUAGAGAUGAUGGAGGAACACCGAUGGCGAAGGCAGCCCCCUGGGUCAAGAUUGACGCUCAUGCACGAAAGCGUGGGGAGCAAACGGGA